rnacentral:rRNA from 1 species
ACACAUGCAGUCGAACGAUGAUGCCCAGCUUGCUGGGUUGAUUAGUGGCGAACGGGUGAGUAAUACGUGAGUAACCUGCCCUUGACUCUGGGAUAAGCCUGGGAAACUGGGUCUAAUACUGGAUACUACCUUUCAUCGCAUGGUGGGGGGUGGAAAGGGUUUUACUGGUUUUGGAUGGGCUCACGGCCUAUCAGCUUGUUGGUGGGGUAAUGGCUCACCAAGGCGACGACGGGUAGCCGGCCUGAGAGGGUGACCGGCCACACUGGGACUGAGACACGGCCCAGACUCCUACGGGAGGCAGCAGUGGGGAAUAUUGCACAAUGGGCGAAAGCCUGAUGCAGCGACGCCGCGUGAGGGAUGACGGCCUUCGGGUUGUAAACCUCUUUCAGUAGGGAAGAAGCGAAAGUGACGGUACCUGCAGAAGAAGCGCCGGCUAACUACGUGCCAGCAGCCGCGGUAAUACGUAGGGCGCAAGCGUUGUCCGGAAUUAUUGGGCGUAAAGAGCUCGUAGGCGGUUUGUCGCGUCUGCUGUGAAAGCCCGGGGCUCAACCCCGGGUCUGCAGUGGGUACGGGCAGACUAGAGUGCAGUAGGGGAGACUGGAAUUCCUGGUGUAGCGGUGAAAUGCGCAGAUAUCAGGAGGAACACCGAUGGCGAAGGCAGGUCUCUGGGCUGUUACUGACGCUGAGGAGCGAAAGCAUGGGGAGCGAACAGGAUUAGAUACCCUGGUAGUCCAUGCCGUAAACGUUGGGCACUAGGUGUGGGGGACAUUCCACGUUUUCCGCGCCGUAGCUAACGCAUUAAGUGCCCCGCCUGGGGAGUACGGCCGCAAGGCUAAAACUCAAAGGAAUUGACGGGGGCCCGCACAAGCGGCGGAGCAUGCGGAUUAAUUCGAUGCAACGCGAAGAACCUUACCAAGGCUUGACAUUCACCGGACCGCCUCAGAGAUGGGGUUUCCCUUCGGGGCUGGUGGACAGGUGGUGCAUGGUUGUCGUCAGCUCGUGUCGUGAGAUGUUGGGUUAAGUCCCGCAACGAGCGCAACCCUCGUUCUAUGUUGCCAGCACGUGAUGGUGGGGACUCAUAGGAGACUGCCGGGGUCAACUCGGAGGAAGGUGGGGAUGACGUCAAAUCAUCAUGCCCCUUAUGUCUUGGGCUUCACGCAUGCUACAAUGGCCGGUACAAAGGGUUGCGAUACUGUGAGGUGGAGCUAAUCCCAAAAAGCCGGUCUCAGUUCGGAUUGAGGUCUGCAACUCGACCUCAUGAAGUCGGAGUCGCUAGUAAUCGCAGAUCAGCAACAAUGCGGUGAAUACGUUCCCGGGCCUUGUACACACCGCCCGUCAAGUCACGAAAGUUGGUAACACCCGAAGCCGGUGGCCUAACCCCUUGUGGGAGGAGCCGUCGAAGGUGGAAC